rnacentral:rRNA from 1 species
UGCAGUCGAGGGGUAUAGGUUUUCGGACCUAGAGACCGGCGCACGGGUGCGUAACGCGUAUGCAAUCUACCUUUUACAGAGGGAUAGCCCAGAGAAACUUGGAUUAAUACCUCAUAGUAUUAUUGAAUGGCAUCAUUUAAUAAUUAAAGUCACAACGGUAAAAGAUGAGCAUGCGUCCCAUUAGCUAGUUGGUAAGGUAACGGCUUACCAAGGCAACGAUGGGUAGGGGUCCUGAGAGGGAGAUCCCCCACACUGGUACUGAGACACGGACCAGACUCCUACGGGAGGCAGCAGUGAGGAAUAUUGGUCAAUGGGCGCAAGCCUGAACCAGCCAUGCCGCGUGCAGGAUGAAGCAUCUAUGGUGUGUAAACUGCUUUUGUACGAGAAGAAACACUCCUUCGUGAAGGAGCUUGACGGUAUCGUAAGAAUAAGGACCGGCUAACUCCGUGCCAGCAGCCGCGGUAAUACGGAGGGUCCAAGCGUUAUCCGGAAUCAUUGGGUUUAAAGGGUCCGUAGGCGGUUUUGUAAGUCAGUGGUGAAAGCCCAUCGCUCAACGGUGGAACGGCCAUUGAUACUGCAAGACUUGAAUUAUUGGGAAGUAACUAGAAUAUGUAGUGUAGCGGUGAAAUGCUUAGAGAUUACAUGGAAUACCAAUUGCGAAGGCAGGUUACUACCAAUAUAUUGACGCUGAUGGACGAAAGCGUGGGGAGCGAACAGGAUUAGAUACCCUGGUAGUC